rnacentral:rRNA from 1 species
AUACGGAGGAUGCAAGCGUUAUCCGGAUUUAUUGGGUUUAAAGGGUGCGUAGGCGGGACUGUAAGUCAGGGGUGAAAUACUGCAGCUUAACUGUAGCAUUGCCUUUGAAACUGCCGUUCUUGAGUACAGUUGAGGUAGGCGGAAUGUGGUGUGGAGCGGUGAAAUGCAUAGAUAUACCACAGAACGCCGAUUGCGAAGGCAGCUUACUAAGCUGUUACUGACGCUGAGGCACGAAAGCGUGGGGAUCAAACAGGAUUAGAUACCCUGGUAGUCCACGCUGUAAACGAUGAUACUGGUUGUUAGCGAUAUAUAGCUAGUGACUGAGCGAAAGCAUUAAGUAAUCCACCUGGGGAGUACGUCGGCAACGAUGAAACUCAAAUGAAUUGACGGGG